rnacentral:rRNA from 1 species
UACGAAGGGGGCUAGCGUUGUUCGGAUUUACUGGGCGUAAAGCGCACGUAGGCGGAUUGUUAAGUCGGGGGUGAAAUCCUGGAGCUCAACUUCAGAAUUGCCUUCGAUACUGGCUUUCUAGAGGCUGGAAGAGGUUAGUGGAAUUCCCAGUGUAGAGGUGAAAUUCGUAGAUAUUGGGAAGAACACCAGUGGCGAAGGCGGCUAACUGGUCCAGAUCUGACGCUGAGGUGCGAAAGCGUGGGGAGCAACAGGG